ensembl:rRNA 5_8S_rRNA 5.8S ribosomal RNA
CCAGCGGAACGGGGGAUCUCUGCGGCGACUGAGGGGAUGAAGAACGCAGCUAGCUGCGAGAAGUAAUGUGAUUUGCAGGACACAUUGAUCAUUGACACUUUGAACGCAUCUUGCGGCCCGGGGUCCAUCCCUGGGCCACGCCUGUCUGAGGGAUC